rnacentral:rRNA from 1 species
CGGCAAGAGCUCAAAUUUGAAAGCUGGCCCCCUCGGGGUCCGCAUUGUAAUUUGCAGAGGAUGCUUCGGGAACGGCCCCCAUCUAAGUGCCCUGGAACGGGCCGUCAUAGAGGGUGAGAAUCCCGUCUGGGAUGGGGUGGCCGCGCCCGUGUGAAGCUCCUUCGACGAGUCCAGUUGUUUGGGAAUGCAGCUCUGAUUGGGUGGUAAAUUUCAUCUAAAGCUAAAUAUUGGCCGGAGACCGAUAGCGCACAAGUAGAGUGAUCGAAAGAUGAAAAGCACUUUGAAAAGAGAGUUAAACAGCACGUGAAAUUGUUGAAAGGGAAGCGCUUGCAACCAGACUCGCCCGCGGGGUUCAGCCGGCACUCGUGCCGGUGUACUUCCCCGCGGNCGGGCCAGCGUCGGUUUGGGCGGCCGGNCAAAGGCCUCUGGAAGGNAACUGNCUCUCGNGGCGUCUUAUANCCAGGGGUGCCAUGCGNCCUGNCCGGACC